rnacentral:rRNA from 1 species
AGUGAACGCUGGCGGUAUGCCUAACACAUGCAAGUCGAACGGCAGCACAGUGAGCUCUCGCUCUUACGGUUGGCGACUGGCGGACGGGUGACGCAUACAUCGGCAUCCACUUUUUCGUGGGGGAUAACGUAGGACAACAUCUGCUAAUACCUCAUACGACCUACGGGUGAAAGCAGGGGAUAUUGGGACCUUGGCCGAACGACUGAGCCGAUGUCGGAUUUGCUAGUUGGCUGGGUAAAGGCCCACCAAGGCGACGAUCCGUAGCUGGUCUGAGAGGAUGAUCAGCCACACUGGAACUGAGAAAGGGCCCAGACUCCUACGGGAGGCAGCAGUGGGGAAUAUUGGACAAUGGGGGCAAGCCGGACGCAGCAAUACCGCGGGGGUGAGGAAGGCCUUCGGGUUGUAAAGCCCGUUUGUUGGGAAAGAAAAGCAGCAGAGUAAAACGCCGAUGUUCUGACGGUACCUAAAGAAUAAGCAACGGCUAACUACGUG